GCAUUGCAUAAAUGACAUUUUUAUGCCCCAUUUAUUAUGCCCCAUUUAUGGGCAUUAUGUUUUCUGGUCUGUGCGUCCGUUCGUGCGUCCGUUCGUUCGUCCGUUCGUUCGUUCGUUCGUCCGUCUGUCCCGCUUCAGGUUAAAGUUUUUGGUCGAGGUAGUUUUUGAUGAAGUUGAAGUCUAAUCAACUUGAAACUUAGUACAUAUGUUCUGUAUGAUAUGAUCUUUCUAAUUUUAAUUCCAAAUUAGAGAUUUAACCCCAUUUUCACGGUCCACUGAACAUAGAAAAUGAUAGUGCGGAUGGGGCAUCCGUGUACUGGGGACACAUUCUUGUUUUAUUUAUAUCAU
rnacentral:lncRNA from 1 species